GCCAGCUUGGCGCAGGGGUAACGCGUCGCACUUGUAUGCCAAGGACGGACGACGUCUUUCGAAAUAUGCAAUGCGAAGAUCGUGUGUUCGAUUCACACAGUUGGCA